AAUUUAAGCAAUAUUUCGUACGGUCUUAUUGAAACUUAAGUAAGUGCUCUGAAAAUGGAUCAACCUCCUGAAGACCCAGAUUUAAAUGAGUCGAAAAAGAAAGAUGAAAAGAACGCCAAAAAGAUAUUGCAGCGGUUGGGUGAGCCUAAUAGAGGUUCAAACCUCAGACAACAAUCAAAUCUUUCAUUUUUCAAGCCCAAAGCUUCUCCCUGUUCUAAAACCCACAAGCCAAACUCUAGUUCAUAAGCUGCUGGUCAUCCAGCAGCUGCACCGCUGGAAGGCUUGGACUUGUUUCAGAAUGUUACGAA